rnacentral:rRNA from 1 species
GGCGAACGCUGGCGGCGUGCUUAAGACAUGCAAGUCGAACGGGCUCUUCGGAGCUAGUGGCGCACGGGUGAGUAACGCGUAACUGACCUACCCCAAAGUCGCGGAUAACGAUUCGAAAGAAUCGCUAAUACGUGAUGUGCUGUCAGAUUGUGUUCUGCCAGUAAAGAUUGAUUGCUUUGGGAUGGGGUUGCGUUCCAUCAGCUAGUUGGUGGGGUAAAGGCCCACCAAGGCGACGACGGAUAGCCGGCCUGAGAGGGUGGCCGGCCACAGGGGCACUGAGACACGGGUCCCACUCCUACGGGAGGCAGCAGUUAGGAAUCUUCCACAAUGGGCGAAAGCCUGAUGGAGCGAUGCCGCGUGAGGGAUGAAGGUCUUCGGAUCGUAAACCUCUGAAUCAGGGACGAAAGACACUUCGGUGGGAUGACGGUACCUGAGUAAUAGCACCGGCUAACUCCGUGCCAGCCGCCGCAGUAAAAC